rnacentral:rRNA from 1 species
UACGUAGGGUGCAAGCGUUGUCCGGAAUUAUUGGGCGUAAAGAGCUCGUAGGCGGUCUGUCGCGUCUGCUGUGAAAACUCAGGGCUUAACCCUGAGCUUGCAGUGGGUACGGGCAGACUAGAGUGCGGUAGGGGAGACUGGAAUUCCUGGUGUAGCGGUGGAAUGCGCAGAUAUCAGGAGGGAACACCAAUGGCGAAGGCAGAUCUCUGGGCCGUAACUGACGCU